CUGCCGCUCGCCCUCGGGCGGGCCGGCUGCGCCCGCGUCCCGGCGCCGGUGGCCUGGUUCGAGUCCGGGGCGGCGACCC
rnacentral:tRNA from 1 species